rnacentral:rRNA from 1 species
GACGUAGGGCGCGAGCGUUGUCCGGAUUAUUGGGCGUAAAGAGCUCGUAGGCGGCUUGUUGCGUCGACUGUGAAAACCCGAGGCUUAACCUCGGGCCUGCAUUCGAUACGGGCUGACUAGAGUUCGGUAGGGGAGACUGGAAUUCCUGGUGUAGCGGUGAAAUGCGCAGAUAUCAGGAGGAACACCGGUGGCGAAGGCGGGUCUCUGGGCCGAUACUGACGCUGAGGAGCGAAAGCGUGGGGAGCGAACAGG